rnacentral:rRNA from 1 species
AUUGAACGCUGGCGGCAGGCCUAACACAUGCAAGUCGAACGAGUGGCGGACGGGUGAGUAAUGUCUGGGAAACUGCCUGAUGGAGGGGGAUAACUACUGGAAACGGUCGCUAAUACCGCAUACUAUCGGAUGUGCCCAUAUGGGAUUAGCUAGUAGGUGGGGUAAAGGCUCACCUAGGCGACGAUCCCUAGCUGGUCUGAGAGGAUGACCAGCCACACUGGAACUGAGACACGGUCCAGACUCCUACGGGAGGCAGCAGUGGGGAAUAUUGCACAAUGGGCGCAAGCCUGAUGCAGCCAUGCCGCGUGUAUGAAGAAGGCCUUCGGGUUGUAAAGUACUUUCAGCGGGGAGGCGUUACCCGCAGAAGAAGCACCGGCUAACUCCGUGCCAGCAGCCGCGGUAAUUC